UGAUUCUUCCACAUAGCCAACGAGCUAGAAACUCUUUCCCUCAGAGAUAUGACUUUACCUGUCAGCUUAUAUCACACUCUCACCAAGUCUCUCUGGGUUAAAGUGUUAUCACUCUCAAAUCACAAUAUGCAAUAUCAAAUCAGCAGUUUGAAUAAAUUCUCUCAUCCUAUCAACAUGUACAAUCACACACACUUUUUGAGGUCUUUUAGGGUUGUAACGGGGCUUGGGUUUAGGUAGGCUAUGAAAGUUGAACCUAGGGUUU
rnacentral:lncRNA from 1 species